CGGCGCUUCGAAGCAUCGUUCCCGGGUCGGGUCCGCGCGUUCGCCGCGACGCUCGCGUCCGGCGUUCCCGCUCCGACUCAGGUGUAGCAGGCGGCCGGGGACCCGAAAGAUGGCGAUCCACGCCCGGUCGGGACGAAGCCAGAGGAAACUCUGGUGGAAGUCCGAAGCGCCUCUGACGUGGAAAUCGAUCGUCGGAACCGGUGUAGGGGCGAAAGACCAAUCGAGCCGUCUAGUAGCUGGUUCCCUCCGAAGUUUCCCUCAGGAUAGCUGGCGCCAGCGGGAGAACGACACGCAAUUCCGUCCGGUAAAGCGAACGACUGGAGGCCCCGGGGACGUUGACGGCCUCGAUCUACUCUCGAAUCGGAACGGGCGAAACGGGCCGCUCCUCUCCCGAUCGGAGGCGGCCGCCGACGAAUAGUUAGGAAUAAUGAUAAUAAU